rnacentral:rRNA from 1 species
UACGAAGGGGCUAGCGUUGCUCGGAAUCACUGGGCGUAAAGGGUGCGUAGGCGGGUCUUUUAAGUCAGGGUGAAAUCCUGGAGCUCAACUCCAGAACUGCCUUUGAUACUGAAGAUCUUGAGUUCGGGAGAGGUGAGUGGAACUGCGAGUGUAGAGGUGAAAUUCGUAGAUAUUCGCAAGAACACCAGUGGCGAAGGCGGCUCACUGGCCCGAUACUGACGCUGAGGCACGGAAAGCGUGGGGAGCAAACAGGG